rnacentral:rRNA from 1 species
GACGAACGCUGGCGGCGUGCUUAACACAUGCAAGUCGAACGGAAAGGCCCUGCUUUUGUUGGUUGCUCGUUUGGCGAACGGGUGAGUAUCACGUGAGUAACCUGCCCUUGUCUUUGUGAUAACUUCAGGAAACUGGGGCUCAUACCGGAUAGGAGCUCCUGCUGCAUGGUGGGGGUUGGAAAGUUUCGGCGGUUGGGGAUGGACUCGCGGCUUAUCAGCUUGUUGGUGGGGUAGUGGCUUACCAAGGCUUUGACGGGUAGCCGGCCUGAGAGGGUUACCGGCGACAUUGGGACUGAGAGAGGGACCAGAAUGGUAAGGGACGCAGCAGUGGGGAAUAUUGCAGAAUGGGCGGAAGCCAGAUGCAGAAACGCCGCGUGCGGGAUGACGGCCUUCGGGGUGUAAACAGAUGUCGCAGGUGACGAAGCGUGAGUGACGGUAAUGGGUAAAGAAGCACCGGCUAACUACGUG